UACGUAGGGUGCAAGCGUUGUCCGGAAUUAUUGGGCGUAGAGAGCUUGUAGGCGGUUUGUCGCGUCUGCUGUGAAAUUUCGGGGCUCAACCCCGAACUUGCAGUGGGUACGGGCAGACUAGAGUGUGGUAGGGGAGACUGGAAUUCCUGGUGUAGCGGUGAAAUGCGCAGAUAUCAGGAGGAACACCGAUGGCGAAGGCAGGUCUCUGGGCCAUAACUGACGCUGAGAAGCGAAAGCGUGGGGAGCGAACAGG
rnacentral:rRNA from 1 species